AUGGCACGCAAGCUCAUGUACCCACGGAUCCUCGCCGUGCUCGCACUCGUCAUGGCGGCGGCGUGGACGCCGUGCUCCGCCGACCCGACAGUGUCUACCAAAGCCACAGCAGCGGCAAGCGGAGAAAGCGUACCCGUCCGAGCUGCGGCAGUUGCGCCGGUAAGUUCGACAGUCGCCGUACCCGCAGCCGGUGCAGCGACGACGCAAGCCACGGCCACGACGUCCAAGAAGAUCCCGCUGGCGCCUCCGGACGUGGUCGAGCCGGCGGCGGAGGUGGUGUCCGCCCUGCCGGUGCCGGUGCCCGAGACUCUUCCCAGCGCAGAAGGCCUUGGCUUCGGCAGCAACGGGUUCAACGGUGGCCAGGGCGGCUUCGGAUGCUGCGGAGGGUUCGGGUACAACGGUGGGCUGGGCUACAAUAACGGGCCGUUGUUCUUCAACUCGGCGCCGGCGAGAAGAUUGAGUCUGAGGAGCAUGGCGACCGGAAAUGGCCUCGCUGUUCUUCUGGUUGCUGGUGCUGCAGCCAUGUUUUAUGUGUGA
rnacentral:rRNA from 1 species